GCUGCUGUGGCUCAAUUGCAGAGCAUUCUCUCAAUCUUGGUUUGAAAAAAAUACUUGUGAGGAAGGAGUGGGUUCGACUCCCACAAGCAGCA